CCACGAUUUGCUCACUCAGUGCACGGUGCAGACGGGAGCUCCCUGUGGGGACUCCGCAGAUGCUGGACUUACCUCUGAGUGUGCUGAGCUCUGGGUGGAGGGGACUGUCAGGCUGAAUGGCUGUGAGUUUGUGUUCUUCUCACUGGGGCAUCAGCAAUUCCCCCAAUUCCCUUUUCCCAGGCUGUUCCAUGUGGCUGUGGUCAGGCUGUGGCAGCACAGGCAGACGCAGCUCUCAGCACUCUCUGCUCCAAACACAACUCUGGCCUCCAUUGCAAUCUGUCUCUGUUGGGAGGUUUUCUCUUAGAGAAAUCAAAGAAUUGCUCAUGGCAAUUUGGAGAAUGAAUUUCCACAAAGGGAAGUGAGGAAUAAAAUCCUGCUCUAGGAGCCCUUGGGAUCUGCAGGGCUGGUUAGGGAAGGGGACAUUCACUCCCUGCAGUGCACACCCACCCACCUGCAGCACCCAGCCCAGCCUGCCAGCUGGGCUCUGCCAGCCCCUCUCUGAGCACCCUCCCUGUGCUGCUCCCUCUCAGUGCCUUUGGCAAUCCAACCCUGAGCCUGAGCAGCCCAAAGCUCUGUCUGGCAGCCCAGGGACAAAGGGACACUCCCAGGGUUGAGGCACAUUCCCAGCAAACGCUCCCAACAGGGCACAGAGGCACCCCUGGAGCUCCUGUGUGGGGCUGGCAGGAGGGCACAGCCCCCAGCUGGGCUGGCAGUGGCAGUGACAGCAGCAAAGUGCCACGGUCUGAUGGCACAACACAGACACCAAGGCCAGCAAUGCCCAUGGGAGGUGCACAAUUAAUUCUGCUCCCUGUGCUGCCCCAUCCCAGCAGGAAAGCUCCAGGGGGGAUGGAAACUCCUCCCCCUUCCCCCCAGCCCCAGAUAAGCACUCCUCAGUUUCAAACACCCAGUUCUCACCUCCAGCCUGCUCCCGGGGCUGCUGCCACAUUCCUGACAAGGUGCCAAAGGCCACUUGGGACAGGGCUCCCUCUGUGUCUCAGGGCUUGGGGACGGCAGGGACCAGGCUGCUCCAGCAAGGACAGCCUGAAACCAGAGCAGAUGUCCCAGGGUUAGCAAUGGGCUGGGGACAGGAGUUCUGAAAACAGCCCCCAAAAUGUUCUAUGAUCAUACCCUUAAAAUGGCUCCAAAGGGCAGCAGCUCCGGUGCCAGACCAGCACCUGCACGAUUCCCUGUGCCAGCCCUGGCUCACUGAAAAACAAAACAAAUCAACCAUCACCCAGGCCUUGUUUGCAGAAUUCCUGAUCCAAACCCUCACCUUUCCUGCCCAGCACUGAGGGAAAUCUGACACAGCAUUAAUAAGUGACCUUUGUUGAGAGCAGCCAUCAUCACAGUCCUCCAGUCUUGGCAAGAUUUUGCAGUGAAUGGACCUAAGUUCUAAUCUUAACCUAAAUUUCUGUCAGUUUUUGUUAGAAAGAUACUGGACAGUAAAUCAUGCAACAGAAUUUGAAAAUUGCACAAGGAAUAACAAGGCCCAGAGCAAACCCAACCACCCCCAUCACUGCUCCACCCCAAUGUUGGGAGAAAUGCUGAUAUCAUCUCUAAAUACUCCCCUUCCCUCCCACUCAGUCCUUCACUGCACAUCCCUGGAGAGGACUGACUCCAUCUUUUGUUGCCAACAGCACCUCUCCAGCCCAAAGCCCACUUCUCACAGACACAAACUAAGCAAGCCUAAGGCAUUGUUCCCAGCAGCAGAUGCAAUUCCUGAACUCCCAUUUCCCUGGAUUCUAAGCACUUGCAGGAAACUCACCUCAGCCCAGAGACUGUUCUGCUUUCCCAGAGGGAAAUACAGCCUGAUGGGCCACAGCUCUGGCACCACAUUGCCCUUGUUCCUGCUGACCUGGAAAGCCACAGUUUUGGGGUCCUCUUAAGAACAGGUUAAAGAGAAGAAGAAGAAAAGCCCAGGACCUACUACCAGCUAGUGCACCAGCCACCUGUUUUCCAUAGAUUCUCCUUACAGCUGAUGGCUUUUCUAAGAAAGCUUCAGUUCAACCUUAUCGCAAUCACCUGGCAGCACUCACUAUUAGCCCCAAAGGCCAGUGCACAUCUGUGUGCUACCUCAGGAAGCUCAGUCGCUCUCUGUGGGACAAAACCUGGUUUGGGCCCAAGAGCUGACUCUGCUCCCUGCUAGCUGAACUGUCCAGCUGUAGGAUGCAGCUGGAUGCUGAAGGGCAGAGUGUGUAACCCUCUGUGAAAGCCAGGCUCCAAAGGCAGCCCUUGAUGCCCCAGCAGUGCUGCUGGAAGCGCUGGCAGCACUUGGCACAGAUGGGAUGGAGCCUUCCCACAGCUCUGUCCCCUGGCACCGAGGGUGGCACAGCAGAGAGGCCGAUGGAAGUAAAACAAACGCUGGAUUUCAAUGGACGCUGAUGGGACUGAAAGCCCCAGCCCAGAGCUGCUCCCUGCCCAGCACAGGAGCUCCCAGUGCUGCUGCAGGGCACAGGCUCUGAGGGAACCCUGCAGCUGGGACAGGAACGCAGCAACAACAAUUCCCAGGCACAAAGAGAUCCCCACCUGCUCCAACAACUGAACCUCUGUGGCUCAGCCUCACGGGGUGUCCCUGCUCCAGGCAGGAUGAGCCACACAGCCCCCGAGGCUGGGCUCACACCCUGCCCUACCAGCAGAAAACAAGGGGUUAAUGAAGCUUUGGGGACACCUUCUGUCCCCAGAGUGCUUUGACAAAACAUCCAGCAGUGUGGAUCUUUAAUAAAGACAGCUUGUACCUAUCCUUGCAA